rnacentral:rRNA from 1 species
CCCUACGGGCGUCAUCUUUGACAAUCGCCCCCCCUUCAGGCAUUCCCCGGCACCGCUGUAAGACAUCGUUCAUCUUGCCCAUAAUUUAAACUUUGCCUCCCUUGCGAUGGAACCGUCGCAGAUAGUUGCGGUCUUCCCCACGGGUGAUCUUGUCUUCCAGGGCGAGGAGUCCCUGGAUGAGGCCUUCCGGUCGUGGAGGGCACCCCGGAACAUAGAUGUCCACCGGAAUGAUCAGUUGAGCCCCCGGGACAAUGGCAUACUGCCCGUCAUAUUCGAAGGGACCGCCGGAAAUGGCACAAUUCCCCAUGGCGAUACACCAUUUGGGAUUGGGCAUCUGGUCCCAGAGCCUCUGAAUAGCUGGCCCCAUCUUCUUGGAGAUCGUUCCUGCAACAAUCAUGAGGUCGAAUUGGCGGGAGGGC